rnacentral:tRNA from 1 species
AAAAAAUUAGUUAAAAUUUAUAUAACAUUAAAAUGUCAAUUUAAAAUUAUUAAUUAUAAUAUUUUUUU